UACCAGCACCCCGAGUGGUCGGGACGAUUAUUGGGCCUAAAGCAUCCGUAGCCGGUUCUGCAAGUCCCCCGUUAAAUCCAGCUGCUCAACAGAUGGGCCGCGGAGGAUACUACAGAGCUAGGAGGCAGGAGAGGCAAGCGGUACUCAGUGGGUAGGGGUAAAAUCCGUUGAUCCAUUGAAGACCACCAGUGGCGAAGGCGGCUAUCUGGACGGUUUCUGACGCUAAGACGCGAAAGCGUGGGGAGCAAACAGG
rnacentral:rRNA from 1 species